rnacentral:rRNA from 1 species
CACGUAGGGUGCGAGCGUUUGUCCGGAAUUAUUGGGCGUAAAGGGCUCGUAGGCGGUUUGUCGCGUCGGGAGUGAAAACCUAUGGCUUAACUGUGGGCUUGCUUUCGAUACGGGCAGACUAGAGGUAUGCAGGGGAGAACGGAAUUCCUGGUGUAGCGGUGAAAUGCGCAGAUAUCAGGAGGAACACCAGUGGCGAAGGCGGUUCUCUGGGCAUUACCUGACGCUGAGGAGCGAAAGUGUGGGGAGCGAACAGG